rnacentral:rRNA from 1 species
GGAUGAACGCUAGCGGCAGGCCUAAUACAUGCAAGACGAACGGUAAGUUGAGUAGCAAUACUUAGCCAAGAGUGUCGUACGGGUGCGUAACACGUAUGCAACCUACCCUAUACAGGAGGAUAGCCUAGGGAAACCUGGAUUAACCCUUCAUAGUAUUAUUGGAUGGCAUCAUUUGAUAAUUAAAACUGAGGUGGUAUAGGAUGGGCAUGCGUCUGAUUAGUUAGUUGGCGGGGUAAUGGCCCACCAAGACGAUGAUCAGUAGGGGUUCUGAGAGGAAGAUCCCCCACACUGGCACUGAGAUACGGGCCAGACUCCUACGGGAGGCAGCAGUAGGGAAUAUUGGUCAAUGGAUGCAAGUCUGAACCAGCCAUGCCGCGUGCAGGAAGAAGGCCUUCUGGGUUGUAAACUGCUUUUGCCAGGGGAUAAAAUUUCCAUGCGUGGGAAACUGAAGGUACCUGGUGAAUAAGCCACGGCUAACUACGUG